GUCCACUGCCAGAGGCCCCAUAGACUACCCAGGCCUCCCAACUGACACCCAUGUUCAGGGGUCCUAGUUCGGUCCUAUGCUGGUUCCCCAGCUGUCAGUCUGGAGUCUGUGAGCUCCCACUUUCUCAGGUCAGCUGUUUCUGUGGGUUUUCCCAGCAUGAUCUUGACCCCUUUGCUCAGCACUCCUCCCUCUCUACAACUGGAUUCCAGGAGCUCAGCUCAGUGCUUAGCUGUGAAUCUCUGCUUCUGCUUCCAUCAGCUACUGGAUGAAGGCUCCAGAAUGGCAUUUAAGAAAUGUCUCCCCUGCUGCUGCUCAGCGCCCUGGUUCUCCCCUCACCUGUUAGGAUGCCUUGAGCCGUGAGCCGUUAGAAGGAUCUUUCAGGAAAUGCCGGACCUGCAACUCCUUUGACUGCUACAUCAUGACUGUACAGCAUCUCUACCGAGAAGAGAGCGAUUUCCUGUUUGUCUCUGCUUAUAUUCUGAUUUUCCCAGCUACGUCAUUUCCUGCCUGUCUGUACAGACCUUCAGACCUCUAUGGUUAGCUAAUGGCAGUUUCUGCCCAGCUAUGUCACUUCCUGGUAUCAUAUGACGACUCCUCUCUGCCUACACUUCCCAGAAUCCUCCUUGUCUCCUAGUCCUAUCUAUCAUUGUACGUGGCCAAUCAGUGUUUUAUUCAUCAACCAAUAAGACAAACAUAUGCACAGAAGAAUAUUCCCCAUUAAUUGUCUGUUAUUAUGAAUAUGUAUUAAUGAAGAUGAAAGGAAACAAAAUUUGGUUUGAGCUUUAGCAAUCUUACAAUCUCUUUUCUUAUCCUUCUCUGGAUGCUAGUGCAACACUCAUUUAGUUCCAAGGACCUUCUAUUUUCAUUUUCCAUGGUUUCAGUAAGUUCUGGUCAAUUGCAGCCCAAAAUUAUUAGGUGGAAAACUCCAGAAGUAAAUAACUCAAAUGUUUUAAACUUUUAUCACAGUAAGAUUGCAUAGCUAUUACUACCAUUUUAUUACUUACUAUUCUUCAUCUCCUCCUGUGCUUGAGGAAUAAAGGAAUCUUCACUGUGCACUAGUGAAGAUGAAUGAUUAACAACAUGUUAUAUCAUUUAUAUUUGAUUCUCACCAGCUAUGAUACAUUCAGUAGUGUUGUUGUAAAAACAAUGUGAUCUAGAUAAAGCGACACUGUUGGUGGUAUCUGACGUUGCAGGUGUGUCUGGAGUGCUGGAGCGUGCCCUGGAGGACACAGGGCAGUGUGAUACAUUGACCAUUAUCAGACAUCCAGGAAGAGGGAGUCAGGGCUUCCUGAAACACGGCUUCAGGAAGGGGCAGCUAGGGAAUUCCCCUCAGCACUGCAUGGAUGCAGAAGGCGCGUUUCCGUGUUGGCAUUGGUCUCCUUUGACGUGAACCUGGUUUGCUGUAGGAUCCACAUUUGAGUUUCCUUCAGCACUUUUCAGAUCCUGACAUCAUGGACCUGGCUUCCUCACUCUAACACUGCAGAGCCGAACCAAGCCCCCUUUAGUGCUUUGGGAGAGACAGAGAAAGACCCUUGCCUGGACUCCACCCUCGGCAAGACUGCUACUGCCUUCAGCUCCUGCAGGGUGGCAGCCAGAUGUGACCCCCAGUUCUUCCAAAUGGCUUAGAUGGAUGCCUCUGAGUCUGCUGGGCCUGGCCUCUGCUCCGGCACUGCUCUGUUCUCAGUAGCGCUGCAAUGAAUCUGCAAGUCCCCUGUAGCCAAACAACACGUUGACCACUUCUUAGCUUUUCUUUAUAUAUAUUUUCAAUCUUCCAAGGCAGAGCUUUUCAAACAGACUCUGCUGAAUCCGGGCAGCUGGCCAGCGUGCUGCAGCACAACAGGGAACAUCUGACAAUUUCCUCGCGCCGAGUCAGCAUGGCCAUCCGUGCUCGUCUUCAGGGACAGAGGGGCUGUUUUUUUGACUUGGUCUCUCAACACUGACUUCUUACCUUUAUUUCUGGUGUGGGAGGGUCAAAAGCAGAGGUUUCUGAUUUCUUUCUUUCUCUCCUUCCCUUCCCCUUUCUAGCCACACUCCUUGCUCAAGCCCCCUCCUCUGUCUGUCUCUCUGUCUCUGUCUAUCUCUCUGUCUGCCUCUGUCUCUGUCUGUCUGUCUGUCUGUCUGUCUGUCUGUCUGUCUCUCUCUCUCUCUCUCUCUCUCUCUCUCUUUCUGUGUGUGUGUGUGUGUGUGCUGGUUUUGAGAUAGAGUCUUACUAUACAACUUAGGUGGCCUUGAACUCAAAAUUCUUGUGAGUCUCCUGCCUCAGCCCCCUAAGUGCUGGAUACUAUGCCCCAGCUUUCUGAUUUCUAUGGUUGAAAUUAUUAUAGAAUAAACUUGAGUCAGUGGUUAAAUUGUGGCUUACAGGUCUACAGCUUUGAUUUCGCCUGGAAUCUUCCUGUCCGUCCUGACCCUUGGGUCAACCCUUGAGUGUCCAUCUUCUUUGUUGCCUACCCAACAGAUAAGCCUCAUUGUCCCCUGACGCCAGUGACCUUCACGCUUAACAGCCUUUUGCUGCCUGUUUGUUACUUGUCUCCUCGACUGCUUCAUCACCCUGAGGUGCUCCACCUCUGGGGUCUUAAGCUUGGAUAAUUUACUCAGCUUAUUUUCAGAAGCUGGUGGGAAGGCUGCACUUCACGGUGAGUGACUGGCUUCCAGUUCCCACUCUAUACCACGAGGAGCAGUGACUGACUUCUAGCUCAGAGAGACGCGGCACAAAAGCCACAUGCAACUUGUGAGAACUUUCCUCACAGGAAUUCAUCGUUUUAUUUCUUCCUAUCUGCUGGGUGGAAUAAAGUGCUCUCCCGCUGAGGCUGGCAACUACAGUAGAGAGGGAACUUGGGUUUCUUCUGCUUCAAAAAGCUCUGCCACACCUCUGCAUCCUCAUGCUUCCAUAAGGAAGAAAUUCACUAUAUUGAAGACUCGGUGGUUCUUCGGGUUUUCUGCCCCUUACAGCUAAUCUCAACCCCAAUAUUUACAGCCUUACCCUGUGCUGAGUUUCCUUACCCUGUUGCUUGUGUGACAAGGCCCUUGGACCUCAAGUCUGAUCCUUCCAGAGUUUCACUGGGUAUGGUUUCCCUCUUUGCCCAGCCUCAGAGGCUGUACAACACUCAUCAUGACUCAGAGCUCCCCAGGGUGCCCAAACUGCUUGGCUGUCCUGUCCUGUGUCUGUGUGUGGAGGAGAAUUUGCAGAUGGGAUCCCCGGGGGAGGCAUCGCUUCUGUCUCUGCCACAUCCACAGCCCAGAGGCUCAAUUUUCUAGGGUCUCGACUGAAAAAAGAGCUGUGGAAGCAACCAGAGCCCUCAGCUCAAGGAAGCGGCUGCAGCCGUGUACAGCGCCUGGCAGAGUCGUGGAAGGCACACUCACUGGACAAAGAGGCUCUUUUAGGGGUCGCACUAGCAGAAGGAUGGGUGGAUCGGAGCCGACAGUACAAACAGGGCCAUUGCAGGGGAAGCAGUGGACUCCUGGGCUGUGUCUGCCCCAGGAACACCAGCCCAGAGGCAGUACCACCUCCCUGUGAGUGGUGCCCGUGUGUCAAUCAUUUAUCGAUUCUGGUUUGCCUGCUGCACUACAAGACUCUAUUUUUGAUGUAAGCCCAACGAAUCUCCAUAGAUGGUCUUGAUAUCAUCGUAAAGUUCAGCAUGAAGGAGGUGGCUAUAGGAAAAAUUAAUGAGAAGGGCAGACCUGUAGGAGUCAAGCAUUCAUCCCAGAGUGAGCCAAACUAGUUGAUAAAUAUCCCUGAGAAAAUGUCAGUUUCCUGGAUUUACCUUCAUCUGUUUUCUGUCACUCUGAGCCACAGCAAAGGGGACUGUCUUAGCUGGGGGUUUUUGUUGCUGUGAAGAGACACCAUGACCACAGCGACUCCUAUAAAGAAAACAUUUAAUCGGGGUGGUUUGCUUACAGUUUCAGAGGUCCGGUCCAUUACCAUCAUGACAGGGAGCAUGGCGGUGUGCAGACAGACGUGGUGCUGGAGGAGCUGAGAGUUCUACAUCUCCAGACACCAGGAAGUCGGCUGACAAUUACACUGGGGAAAG
ensembl:lncRNA